CAGAAAGCCACGGCUAACUACGUGCCAGCAGCCGCGGUAAUACGUAGGUGGCAAGCGUUGUCCGGAAUUAUUGGGCGUAAAGCGCGCGCAGGCGGUUUCUUAAGUCUGAUGUGAAAGCCCCCGGCUCAACCGGGGAGGGUCAUUGGAAACUGGGGAACUUGAGUGCAGAAGAGGAGAGUGGAAUUCCACGUGUAGCGGUGAAAUGCGUAGAGAUGUGGAGGAACACCAGUGGCGAAGGCGACUCUCUGGUCUGUAACUGACGCUGAGGCGCGAAAGCGUGGGGAGCGAACAGGAUUAGAUACCCUGGUAGUCCACGCCGUAAACGAUGAGUGCUAAGUGUUAGAGGGUUUCCGCCCUUUAGUGCUGCAGCAAACGCAUUAAGCACUCCGCCUGGGGAGUACGGUCGCAAGACUGAAACUCAAAGGAAUUGACGGGGGCCCGCACAAGCGGUGGAGCAUGUGGUUUAAUUCGAAGCAACGCGAAGAACCUUACCAGGUCUUGACAUCCUCUGACAACCCUAGAGAUAGGGCUUCCCCUUCGGGGGCAGAGUGACAGGUGGUGCAUGGUUGUCGUCAGCUCGUGUCGUGAGAUGUUGGGUUAAGUCCCGCAACGAGCGCAACCCUUGAUCUUAGUUGCCAGCAUUCAG
rnacentral:rRNA from 1 species